rnacentral:lncRNA from 7 species
GCGUGGCGCUGCCCGCAGCCCGCCGGAGGGCGCCGCCGCGGCCGUCUCGAGGGCAGUAGCAUGGAGUUGAACUCAGGAGCUUUUCAGGAGGACCCAGAAUCUGACAGUGGACAUCUAGAACAGAGGACACCUUGGUGUGAACACCACCUGUACCAGCAGCUAAUGAUGGUGCCUCAUGCUGUUCACAAGAAGAAAGUGAGGUUUGGUGCCAUGAAUCCACCCACUGAGAAGGUUGGACAGUCUUCAUCUGGCACAAAAAGAGUGGCAGGAUUCCUUGUUUCUCCUGAUCUCUGCUCAUAAAAAAGGAAAUCAAAUGGGAGGAAAGGAAAGAAAGAUAUGAAAACAGGGACACAAGGAGGUGAAAUGACAUAACUGCUCCACACUCGGAGUUCAGCAAGGAAAGUGACAGUAGGCAUCAGCCCUCCCAGCUCAUGUUACCAUGCUGAAACUUACAAAACUCUACUUCUUCAAAAGCUUGCCCUUUUGAUGAUACUGCAAAUAAUAACACAAUUGUACAGUGAUGAAUGGCAGUCCCGUGCCCUUACUGACAAGUUAGUGAAUGGACAGUACUGAAAAUAAUUUGUAAGAUGAUGAUGUUUAUGGUGAUGAUAACAUAAUAAAUCGAUAGCUGAAUU